UACGUAGGGCGCAAGCGUUGUCCGGAAUUAUUGGGCGUAAAGAGCUCGUAGGCGGUCUGUUACGUCUGCUGUGAAAACCCGGGGCUUAACCCUGGGCUUGCAGUGGAUACGGGCAGACUAGAGGCAGGUAGGGGAGAAUGGAAUUCCCGGUGUAGCGGUGAAAUGCGCAGAUAUCGGGAGGAACACCGGUGGCGAAGGCGGGUCUCUGGGCCGAAAUUGACGCUGAGGAGCGAAAGCGUGGGGAGCAAACAGG
rnacentral:rRNA from 1 species